rnacentral:lncRNA from 10 species
CGUAGCCGUGGGGCUCCAGAGCGCGUGCGCGCGUCGAGCCCGGUCGCCACGCCCCUUCCGAGGGUCGCUCCGCCCCCGUCGGGCCCCGCGAGCGCGCGGUGGGGGAGGGGAGGGCCCCGGAGCGCGCCUGCGUGGGGCGGGGGCGGCAGCCGACUAGGGGCUGGGUCUGGCCGUUUAGGGCCGGGUCUUGGCCCGUCGCCCACGGUGCGGAGGGCUGGUGGGCUUUCCUUGGCCGUCGGGCCCGCCACGGCGCGGGUCUUGGCUGCGGGGCGGAGGUGGGGCGGGAGAGCCGAGGAUAAGAGUUUGAGGCUUUUCGAGGCGCGUGCCGCGGCGUCCGCCUCUGCGGGACUCUGCGCCGGGCGCCCUCGGCCGGCGCGCCCGGCUCCCGCUUUGUCGCCGAGGGAAGCACGCGCGACGCCCCUCCCGUCGCCGCCGUGGCUUCUUUCGGUGUUCGUGAUUUGCUGAGAGGCUGGAAAGCAGCACGGCGGAGAGGAGCCUUGCACUCGCCAGGCGGGAAGCCUGCGCGGACACGCGUGCGCACCCACGGGGCGGCGGGCGGGCGUGGGGGGUCCGGGCCACGCGGGCGACGCGCCUCUAGGGAAGCGAUCUUGUUGCACCUUCCCGUUAUUCUGAAAGCAAAUCGUAGCCAGACCCGAGCGCAGCGGCUUAGCAAAUAAUAAGGGGAGCGUCAGUCGUGCUCGAAAUGCUUCCUUCGCGAUGGCGUCAGUGUUCCGUGAGGGAAUGAAGCCGCAGUAGGAAAUAAAGAGGCUGUGCGCGUAGUCUGAAAAGCAGAAGUCAACAUUUUUACAGAUGAAGAAAGAAUACGGAGGCAAGAGGUCUUUCUCUGCAGUUUGGUGGAUUUCCAACAUUUAGACUUGUUUGGAAGAAUUUCCUCAGCUGCACCAAUGAAGUCCUUGAUCUAUAGAAGUCGGCAGUCCCUAAAUCUACGUCUGCAUUUUGUUGCAAAUCCUUUAUAACAUUCCAUUAAAAUAAUGCAGAGUUAUUUAAUAUCCAGUUGGCCAUCGUGAGAGUAAUUCGCGGCUGAGAUUUUGUUAAUCAUUCUGUCUUCUGACUUAACAGUGAACAAUCAACAGGAAGCCCCAGAGCUGGGG